UACGGAGGGGGCUAGCGUUGUUCGGAAUUACUGGGCGUAAAGCGCACGUAGGCGGCUUGGUAAGUUAGAGGUGAAAGCCUGGAGCUCAACUCCAGAAUUGCCUUUAAGACUGCCGAGCUAGCAGGUGAGAGAGGUGAGUGGAAUUCCGAGUGUAGAGGUGAAAUUCGUAGAUAUUGGGAAGAACACCGGUGGCGAAGGCGGCUAUCUGGCCCGUAAUUGACGCUGAGGCGCGAAAGCGUGGGGAGCAAACAGG
rnacentral:rRNA from 1 species